rnacentral:misc_RNA from 1 species
GGAGUUUUUUUUUUUUUACUUCAAAUUUCUUGCUAAUAUGUUAGAAUUGUUCUGGAGAGCAAGAACUGAAAAGUUUGAGAUAUUGUUUAGAUAUUAUUUUUUAGUUAAUUUUCUUCAUCUCUUUCUUGGCUCCUUGUUAAUGAAUUGGAGCAGAUGAAAGCAGCUUGUGUCAACUUCUUUUCGAAAGAUAAGUGAGGAAAUUAUCUUGAAACUUCAAGUUUCGCAUCAGCUGAUUUUCCUUGCAAUUUCAUCACUUUUUCCCAUUUUAUUGAAACAAUGUUUAUUUGACAUGUCAACAUGAAUUAUUUUUCACCGCUCUUAUCUUUUCUCAUUCCUAUUCCUUUGGGCAUCAUUUUAUGUCCCUGGUCUCCAAGACUCCAACCUGCCAGUAUUCAUCAAAUCAAUGAACAUAGAUGUUUGUGCGUGCUCAUUUGUUUCUAAAGUGUUGUGAUCUCUGAACUGGGUGAGAAUCAUCAAGUUGAAGCUCUAAGAAGUUAACCUGAAUGCCUGGUAUGGUGAGAAUUUUUUGCGUGGGCAAUGAGAAAUGCAUGUUUAUAUGGGCAAAAGGGCAUCUUUUAUAUUUUGGGCUUUUGCAAUUUUGCUAUGAUUUAUGGGGAUUGGAGAGGGGCACAAUUAUCAAGUUUGAGAACAAAUAUGUGGUAUUAGGGUGGUUGAGCAAAAGAUGUCAACAUGGUUUCACAGCUACAUGCAAUUUCAUAAUUAAAAAUUCGCCGAGUUGUUGGUUCAGCUGUAGAGUUGCUAAUAGCCAUAUAUAAAAGCUAAUGAGAAAAAUAGCAACUAUAGUAUGACAAAAAUAGCCAUGUAUAGAUGUUUAUCAAUUGAAGUUUCCUGCAAAAUAUUAACUGGGGGACAAGAAAAUAUUCGUGCAAAUAUUAGUUAGGGAUUCCCUCCCUGUGAAUAUUAUGUUAUUUGUCCUUCUGGCUGAGUUUUAAUGGACUUCAUAUUGCAGAAAUUGGUGGGAUGCAAAGAAAUG